rnacentral:rRNA from 1 species
AGGACGAACGCUGGCGGCGUGCUUAACACAUGCAAGUCGAGCGAUGAAGCUUCUUCGGAAGUGGAUUAGCGGCGGACGGGUGAGUAACACGUGGGUAACCUGCCUCAUAGAGGGGAAUAGCCUUCCGAAAGGAAGAUUAAUACCGCAUAAGAUUGUAAUAUCGCAUGAUAUAGCAAUUAAAGGAGUAAUCCGCUAUGAGAUGGACCCGCGUCGCAUUAGCUAGUUGGUGAGGUAACGGCUCACCAAGGCGACGAUGCGUAGCCGACCUGAGAGGGUGAUCGGCCACAUUGGGACUGAGACACGGCCCAGACUCCUACGGGAGGCAGCAGUGGGGAAUAUUGCACAAUGGGGGAAACCCUGAUGCAGCCAACGCCGCGUGAGUGAUGACGGUCUUCGGAUUGUAAAGCUCUGUCUUCAGGGAUGAUAAUGACGGUACCUGAGGAGGAAGCCACGGCUAACUACGUGCCAGCCGCCGC